rnacentral:rRNA from 1 species
UGUUUCGGCUAGGGGGCCAUCCCGGCUUACCAACCCGAUGCAAACUGCGAAUACCGGAGAAUGUUAUCACGGGAGACACACGGCGGGUGCUAACGUCCGUCGUGAAGAGGGAAACAACCCAGACCGCCAGCUAAGGUCCCAAAGUCAUGGUUAAGUGGGAAACGAUGUGGGAAGGCCCAGACAGCCAGGAUGUUGGCUUAGAAGCAGCCAUCAUUUAAAGAAAGCGUAAUAGCUCACUGGUCGAGUCGGCCUGCGCGGAAGAUGUAACGGGGCUAAACCAUGCACCGAAGCUGCGGCAGCGACGCUUAUGCGUUGUUGGGUAGGGGAGCGUUCUGUAAGCCG